rnacentral:tmRNA from 1 species
GGGGGCGUACCGGAAUCGACAGGGAAGUGAGUUUUGUAGUAAGCACGCCGGAGCAUGAUUGGUUACUCCGUAAAAAAUAACGAUUACACUUUAGUUGGCACUCCCAGCUACGCCAUGGCUGCCUAAUCCUAGAUUAGUCUCCUGGUUUCACGCGCCGUGUGGUUGAGGUCCCAUACACAUCACGCCGCGCUCCCCCCUUUGGGACUGGCCGUCGACCCUGAUCUGAGUCGAGGGUAAGAUUAAAGAUCUAAGGUUCGGACAUGAGAGGGUGACCAAUCUCUCCCCGCGCUCGAAAAUCCUGACUGGUCACUAAGCGUGUAGAAAGCUGCUUGACGCUUUCGCUGGACGGGAGUUCAAAUCUCCCCGCCUCCACCA